GGGGAUGUAAUGGUUUCGACAGGCAUGAGAGCGGUUGUGAACUGCGAGCCGAGUUGAGGAGACUCGCAAAACGCCUCACCCCAACAAGUGCCGAGAAAGUUCCUGCUUUCGGUGGCCGCUCCUACAGCGCUUUGCCCCUCGCGGCGUAAGGCUGUGUGAGUAGUCCAUGACCCGCUCGCACGGGUCACGGGCGGCGUCCCCUUCCCUCGAGAGGGGGCGGCGUCCGACGGUGAAAUCGAGGUGCGCGGCGGCGACGCCGAUAGCCCGCCGCAAAGGAGGCGAGAGCCUCACCCAUCGGCUGGUUCGGGUGGACUCUGUUGGCCGAUGAAGCCCGAACGAGACGCGGAGCGCCAACUACGCUCGUAGACGUUUGCAACCAACAUGUCUGGACCCGGGUUCGACUCCCGGCAUCUCCACUU
rnacentral:tmRNA from 1 species